rnacentral:rRNA from 1 species
UGACUCUCGGCAACGGAUAUCUCGGCUCCCGCAUCGAUGAAGGACGUAGCGAAAUGCGAUACUUGGUGUGAAUUGCAGAAUCCCGUGAGCCAUCGAGUCUUUGAACGCAAGUUGCGCCUUAAGCUAUCUGGCUAAGGGCACGCCUGCCUGGGCAUCAUGCCUUGCGACGCUUCGUGUU